rnacentral:rRNA from 1 species
AUUAACGCUGGCGGCAGGCCUAACACAUGCAAGUCGAGCGGCAGCGGAAAGUAGCUUGCUUCUUUGCCGGCGAGCGGCGGACGGGUGAGUAAUGUCUGGGAAAUUGCCUGAUGGAGGGGGGAUAACUACUGGAAACGGUAGCUAAUACCGCAUGACCUCGAAAGAGCAAAGUGGGGGAUCUUCGGACCUCACGCCAUCGGAUGUGCCCAGAUGGGAUUAGCUAGUAGGUGAGGUAAUGGCUCACCUAGGCGACGAUCCCUAGCUGGUCUGAGAGGAUGACCAGCCACACUGGAACUGAGACACGGUCCAGACUCCUACGGGAGGCAGCAGUGGGGAAUAUUGCACAAUGGGCGCAAGCCUGAUGCAGCCAUGCCGCGUGUGUGAAGAAGGCCUUAGGGUUGUAAAGCACUUUCAGCGAGGAGGAAGGCAUCAUACUUAAUACGUGUGGUGAUUGACGUUACUCGCAGAAGAAGCACCGGCUAACUCCGUGCCAGCAGCCGCGGUAAUACGGAGGGUGCAAGCGUUAAUCGGAAUUACUGGGCGUAAAGCGCACGCAGGCGGUUUGUUAAGUCAGAUGUGAAAUCCCCGCGCUUAACGUGGGAACUGCAUUUGAAACUGGCAAGCUAGAGUCUUGUAGAGGGGGGUAGAAUUCCAGGUGUAGCGGUGAAAUGCGUAGAGAUCUGGAGGAAUACCGGUGGCGAAGGCGGCCCCCUGGACAAAGACUGACGCUCAGGUGCGAAAGCGUGGGGAGCAAACAGG